rfam:Ignavibacteria bacterium 13_1_40CM_2_61_4 13_1_40cm_2_scaffold_198650, whole genome shotgun sequence.
CCCAGCGCUUAUGCGCUGGGCUAGCAACUGACGCACCUCCGGCGCU